rnacentral:rRNA from 1 species
GACGAACGCUGGCGGCGUGCUUAACACAUGCAAGUCGAACGGAAAGGCCCUGCUUUUGUGUGGUGCUCGAGUGGAGAACGGGUGAGUAACAAGUGAGUAACCUGCCCUUGAUUAUGGGCUAUCUUCAGGAAACUGGGGCUAAUAACGGAUAGGUGAUACUGCUGCAUGGUGGGGGUUGGAAAGUUUCGGCGGUUGGGGAUGGACCCGCGGCUUAUCAGCUUGUUGGUGGGGUAGUGGAUUACCAAGGCUUUGACGGGUAGCCGGCCUGAGAGGGUGACCGGCUACAGUGGGACUGAGAUACGGCCCAGACUCCUACUGGAGGCAGCAGUGGGGAAGAUUGCACAAGGGGCGGAAGCCAGAUGCAGCAACGCCGCGGGCGGGAGGACGGCCUGCGGGUUGGAUUCCGCUUUCGCCUUGGACGAAGCGUGAGUGACGGUAAUGGGUAAAGAAGCUCCGGCUAACUACGUG